AGAGACCAGUAAAAGAAAAGAUGUGAAGCCUCCAACAGCCUUAAAAGAAAAGGACUCUUCAAAAGGAAAAGAUAUUAAGGCUUCAAGUAAUACUAAGGAAAAAGUUGCAGUGAAAAAGGAGGGGGAGAAGAAAGGGAAGAGCACAUGAAAACGUCAGAAGCUGAGGAUAUUGAGAGGAAGCUCUUCAGGUCUUUCACCACACGUGCCUAAAGAUGAAAUGCAUUAAUGCAGCAGAUGUACCUCAUCUUCAUUUGACUGAAAUUUUAUUCUUUCCAGCUCCGUCGAUAGAAGAUUUUUCUUGCUGGGAUUUUAAGACUUAUAGUACUUUAAAUAUAUAAGCUUUCAGUGCUACCAUGCAAGAUUGCUGUUUCAACAAGACUUACAUUUCCCAGUGCAUUUCUAUUGUUUAAGUGACAAACUGGGAAACAGAGAAAGAUUGGGAUCAUUGCUGACGGUCCCUGAAGGCAUGCAUCUCAGAUUGAAGUUGAAGCAAUUCCUCUCAUUAAAAAGCAUUUAAAAAUGUUGGAAA